UCAGAUUUUUAGGGUGAAAUAUCUUCACUCCUACCGCCUCACUUCUCCCACUGCUCCACACUCUCUUACGAGGCCGACGACUCGGAGAACUCCGCCAGCCAUUCGUCCUCACCAUCCUAUUCAACCCCUUCGUCUUCCUUCCAGGACUAGAUGGUUGACACGAGGCGGACGGAAAUCGAAGAUGAGCAGCAGUUGCGUUAGAUGGCAUCAUCUGACAAAUCAUUUCUCACGAAUGCAGUAAUAUUUUGACAAAUUAUUUCUCACGAAUGAUCAACCACCCGCGGCGCUUUCAACAUUUAAACCGAAAGAACCACUUUGGCGCUUUUGAAAACGAUUCAUCGAAAAUGUGUAUUUGAUUCAUUAGAAUGAUUAGAUCAUUAUUGUAUUAUAUUAUAAAAUAUUGUUAUUAUUCUAUUUCAAUAUUUAUUUAUAUUUUGGUUCA